rnacentral:lncRNA from 1 species
AGAUACACUUGAUUUGGUGCUUGAAAUGUGAUAGAAAGUGGUAAGAAAGAAUUCAUAAAUAAUUAGAUGGACCAACUUUGAUAUUUAGAAAGUAAAAGCAUAAUGUAAACUAGGAUCUAGUAAUUAGGGUAGGAAGACUAAUUCAAUUAAGAAAAAAAAGAAAAAAAAGAAAAUAAGAAAUAAAGGAAUUAAAGUAAAAAAUUUAAAAAUUAAGAGAGAGAUUAGAAGAGAAAAAUUUUUAAGUGUAUGUUUGGAUGUAGGUAUUGGUUAUUUUAGGAAGAAACUAGGAUGAAGAGAAAAGAGAAUUAAGACCACUAUAAAAUCUUAUUUGAUAUGAGUAAGUUCAACCAAAAGAUAAGAAGAGAGGGAGAUCAAAGAAUAGAAAGAAAAAAUUAUUAAUCAAUAGCAAACAAGCAUAAAGAAGGGUUAGAAUUAUUAAAAUAUCAAGAAAAAUGGUAGAUAUCUACAAGAAGAAGAAAAUCAUGACAAACUAUCUUUACAUGCCUAAUAGGACCAAAAUUAAAUGAAAGAGAGG